rnacentral:rRNA from 1 species
AUGAACGCUAGCUACAGGCUUAACACAUGCAAGUCGAGGGGCAGCAUGGUCUUAGCUUGCUAAGGCCGAUGGCGACCGGCGCACGGGUGAGUAACACGUAUCCAACCUGCCGUCUACUCUUGGACAGCCUUCUGAAAGGAAGAUUAAUACAAGAUGGCAUCAUGAGUCCGCAUGUUCACAUGAUUAAAGGUAUUCCGGUAGACGAUGGGGAUGCGUUCCAUUAGAUAGUAGGCGGGGUAACGGCCCACCUAGUCUUCGAUGGAUAGGGGUUCUGAGAGGAAGGUCCCCCACAUUGGAACUGAGACACGGUCCAAACUCCUACGGGAGGCAGCAGUGAGGAAUAUUGGUCAAUGGGCGAGAGCCUGAACCAGCCAAGUAGCGUGAAGGAUGACUGCCCUAUGGGUUGUAAACUUCUUUUAUAAAGGAAUAAAGUCGGGUAUGGAUACCCGUUUGCAUGUACUUUAUGAAUAAGGAUCGGCUAACUCCGUGCCAGCAGCCGCGGUAAUACGGAGGAUCCGAGCGUUAUCCGGAUUUAUUGGGUUUAAAGGGAGCGUAGAUGGAUGUUUAAGUCAGUUGUGAAAGUUUGCGGCUCAACCGUAAAAUUGCAGUUGAUACUGGAUAUCUUGAGUGCAGUUGAGGCAGGCGGAAUUCGUGGUGUAGCGGUGAAAUGCUUAGAUAUCACGAAGAACUCCGAUUGCGAAGGCAGCCUGCUAAGCUGCAACUGACAUUGAGGCUCGAAAGUGUGGGUAUCAAACAGGAUUAGAUACCCUGGUAGUCCACACCGUAAACGAUGGAUACUCGCUGUUUGCGAUAUACAGCAAGCGGCCAAGCGAAAGCGUUAAGUAUUCCACCUGGGGAGUACGCCGGCAACGGUGAAACUCAAAGGAAUUGACGGGGGCCCGCACAAGCGGAGGAACAUGUGGUUUAAUUCGAUGAUACGCGAGGAACCUUACCCGGGCUUAAAUUGCAGAUGAAUUACGGUGAAAGCCGUAAGCCGCAAGGCAUCUGUGAAGGUGCUGCAUGGUUGUCGUCAGCUCGUGCCGUGAGGUGUCGGCUUAAGUGCCAUAACGAGCGCAACCCUUGUUGUCAGUUACUAACAGGUUCCGCUGAGGACUCUGACAAGACUGCCAUCGUAAGAUGUGAGGAAGGUGGGGAUGACGUCAAAUCAGCACGGCCCUUACGUCCGGGGCUACACACGUGUUACAAUGGGGGGUACAGAGGGCCGCUACCACGCGAGUGGAUGCCAAUCCCCAAAACCUCUCUCAGUUCGGACUGGAGUCUGCAACCCGACUCCACGAAGCUGGAUUCGCUAGUAAUCGCGCAUCAGCCACGGCGCGGUGAAUACGUUCCCGGGCCUUGUACACACCGCCCGUCAAGCCAUGGGAGCCGGGGGUACCUGAAGUGCGUAACCGCGAGGAGCGCCCUAGGGUAAAACUGGUGACUGGGGCU